rnacentral:rRNA from 1 species
CACGUAGUUAGCCGACCCUUAUUCGUUAGUUACCGUCAUAUUCUUCACUAACAAAAGCAGUUUACGACCCGAAGGCCUUCAUCCUGCACGCGGCGUUGCUCCAUCAGGCUUUCGCCCAUUGUGGAAGAUUCCUCACUGCUGCCUCCCGUAGGAGUCUGGACCGUGUCUCAGUUCCAGUCUGGCUGAUCAUCCUCUCAGACCAGCUACCGAUCGUCGGCUUGGUGAGCCAUUACCUCACCAACUACCUAAUCGGACGCGGGCUUCUCCUAAAGCGUAUAAAACUUUAUCCGAAGACCAUAUGCGGUAUUAGACACCGUUUCCGAUGCUUAUCCCUCACUUUAGGGUGAAUUCCCACGCGUUACUCAGCCGUUCGCCGCUCGUGUACCCGAAGGGCCUUACGCUCGACUUGCAUGUGUUAGGCACGCCGCCAGCGUUCAUCCUGAGCCAGGAUCAAACUCU